UCGCACUGGUCAGUACUGACACUAAGGCGUCGGGUGAAGGGGUAGCUCAUAUUCUUUUCCCUUCAGGGGACGAGCGAGGCCGUCGAGGUUGAGCUAGAGAAGGAGCCCGCGCUUUGGCUUUAGCUCUCGCGCGCGCUUAGCGCUUUAGCUCCCCUAUGUUCGUGCGUCUUGCGUUUCUCAGUCCACCCUCUCUUCUCCAGCCGGCGGAACCACGGUACCCCUACGACAGCGACUUAGCGUAGAACAAUUUCGUCCUCGCCUCCGCUGCGGAAGCCGCUUAGGUUCGGGUGUUACUUAACUAAUGAUUUCACGGUCUAUUUUUCCUGAGUGAGACGGUUGUUCUACUAGUCAGUGUCCCACCACUAUCCAGCUGUAGAAGUCCCGGCUUAGAUGGACUCCUAUAGACCACGGAACAUGUAAGGGAUUACGGUAACACACUAAGACGGGUGAGACGGACACACAGAGCGUGUAAAGAUGCAAGAACCUCUACGGUGGGGUUCGAAUAGAAGUCACUCCUUCGUGAUCCAAACUUUGUCUUCCUUCCUGCUUUAUAGUUAUAUCGUACCCUAAAGUGAUCGUCUCAAUUAGUUUCCCGUCGGGCCACGUACAUCGAGGGCGAACGCGUCCCAGGCCCCUUCCCAGGCUGGUGAAACCCAGAUAUCAUGCGUCGGAAAGGAUGUAAAGACAUUCUCCGACAAAGGUCCUGAACUUGGGCACUGGAGAACCAGUGUUCCGUCGUCGAAAUGGUGACGCGGUUCCGAGGGGAAGUGAUCGUCUCAAUUAGUUUAAGACUUUUUAGUGAGUCUGUGGUCACACUUCUAUGAGCUCAAACAUUAGUUAUUAGCAGUGUUACAGUUGUGUACAGUCGAUUUAUCAACCGAGGUCUUUCGACAGUGUGGUCCCUAACUUUUUUAGUGGGAAAAAGACGGAUACCUUAUUCCCUUCUCAUGUUGAAGGGCACGAGUCAAAAUAAACUACCCGCACCUUUGAGUUAAACCAUAGAAUUGGAGUGGUUAACGCGGAAGGCAGGGCACCGACCUAAACUAACGAACUCUUCGGACUGUUUCGACGCAGAAAUACCUCAAACAUAGUCCCCCCUACUCAAUCCCGUAGAAUAAAGGUUAACAAAACGAAACCUCCUCAACGUUCAGACCACAACGUACCUCGAUUAGACGAACUGCUAUGGUAAGACCGACGUCGCCGAAUCAACAAACUGACACAGUCUCACGCUAUACGACGCUCACUAUCUCUCGUGUCGAGGUUUGGAGUGGUGAAAUCUGAAGAAACCACUUGGUCAUGUUGAACACGAAUCUCUUAGUAGUUUCCAUUUUUUGAACGUUCACCCCAUAAGUAUAUUCGGGUUACGAUAUUCAAUACGAUAGUGAUUCGAUGGAAGAUAACACGGUGUAGAAAUCUGAGAAUGAUAUAUGAGCAGAAGACUCUGCCAAUUAUGGGGUUACCAUCGACUGUUUAAGGAACUGUAUUUCGUGAACUUAUAAGUGGAACCACUCCUAAUACUACUGCGACAAUGGGGCUGGAUACUAAUAAAUAGGAACCGAAACAAAGACCUACGAACAGGACAGGACCUCUCAAAGUGGAAUUAACAUCUAGUCUCACUAUACGUCGUACUAAGCCAAAAACCCUUAGGGAGGAACAAAAACUCCGUCUAAGAAGUUGUGUUCGUACUCUCCGAGUUCUUCCACGUCUAGUAACCGAAGACGAGACGUUUCUCGUACCAACUCGAUUGUACACUAUAAGAGUUCUUACGUUGUAGUGAACUCUCGGAGUGAGACCUGACACAUAAACCACGCCCAUGCCCCCGGUAAUCACUAAGACAAUCCACACCAGGGAGUUUUAGGCUAUUUACGACCUAGUCUUCGGCUUGAUACUAGAACCUUCGUGUAUUUCGUGAGCCACGGUAGUUUUGCAUGUAGGACCUCUCUCAAGGGGGACGUCAGUUCAAUUUACAACCCCCCGGAACAUCGGCCACGGUUCGAUACCUACACUACGAAAUCAAAAAUUACAACGUCUACAACAGUAGCAGUAACAAGUCAUAACAAAUAUCGAUCAUAUACGUUGCGGUUUACACAACAGUUUCAAAAAGAUACGAUACGUGGAAUAACCGCAGAGAAUUGUGACGUUCAACUAACAAUGAGGUGGAUUUAAUCUCGGGUCCGGUCGAUACGUUUAUGUAAAACCGCACAAACCAAGAUUUCAUAAAAAUUCAUAAGGUUCUUAUGGUUUCAUAGAACCUUUGGAUAACAAAGUUCAUGAAGUUGGAAUCAAGGUUUAAUGUUGUGAAUAAUAACUGCC
rnacentral:rRNA from 1 species